rnacentral:tRNA from 1 species
GGGGGGUUAGCUCAACGGUUAGAGCAGGGCGCUCAUAACGCCUUGGCUGGGGGUUCGAAUCCCUCACCCCCCACCA